AGAGUUUGAUCCUGGCUCAGGACGAACGCUGGCGGCGCGCCUAACACAUGCAAGUCGAACGAGCGAGAGAGAGCUUGCUUUCUCGAGCGAGUGGCGAACGGGUGAGUAACGCGUGAGGAACCUGCCUCAAAGAGGGGGACAACAGUUGGAAACGACUGCUAAUACCGCAUAAGCCCACGGCUCGGCAUCGAGCAGAGGGAAAAGGAGCAAUCCGCUUUGAGAUGGCCUCGCGUCCGAUUAGCUAGUUGGUGAGGUAACGGCCCACCAAGGCAACGAUCGGUAGCCGGACUGAGAGGUUGAACGGCCACAUUGGGACUGAGACACGGCCCAGACUCCUACGGGAGGCAGCAGUGGGGAAUAUUGCACAAUGGGGGAAACCCUGAUGCAGCGACGCCGCGUGGAGGAAGAAGGUCUUCGGAUUGUAAACUCCUGUUGUUGGGGAAGAUAAUGACGGUACCCAACAAGGAAGUGACGGCUAACUACGUGCCAGCAGCCGCGGUAAAACGUAGGUCACAAGCGUUGUCCGGAAUUACUGGGUGUAAAGGGAGCGCAGGCGGGAAGACAAGUUGGAAGUGAAAUCUAUGGGCUCAACCCAUAAACUGCUUUCAAAACUGUUUUUCUUGAGUAGUGCAGAGGUAGGCGGAAUUCCCGGUGUAGCGGUGGAAUGCGUAGAUAUCGGGAGGAACACCAGUGGCGAAGGCGGCCUACUGGGCACCAACUGACGCUGAGGCUCGAAAGUGUGGGUAGCAAACAGGAUUAGAUACCCUGGUAGUCCACACCGUAAACGAUGAUUACUAGGUGUUGGAGGAUUGACCCCUUCAGUGCCGCAGUUAACACAAUAAGUAAUCCACCUGGGGAGUACGACCGCAAGGUUGAAACUCAAAGGAAUUGACGGGGGCCCGCACAAGCAGUGGAGUAUGUGGUUUAAUUCGACGCAACGCGAAGAACCUUACCAAGUCUUGACAUCCCUUGACAGGCAUAGAAAUAUGUAAUCUUUUCGGAGCAAGGAGACAGGUGGUGCAUGGUUGUCGUCAGCUCGUGUCGUGAGAUGUUGGGUUAAGUCCCGCAACGAGCGCAACCCUUAUGGUCAGUUACUACGCAAGAGGACUCUGGCCAGACUGCCGUUGACAAAACGGAGGAAGGUGGGGAUGACGUCAAAUCAUCAUGCCCUUUAUGACUUGGGCUACACACGUACUACAAUGGCGUUAAACAAAGAGAAGCAAGACCGCGAGGUGGAGCAAAACUCAGAAACAACGUCCCAGUUCGGACUGCAGGCUGCAACUCGCCUGCACGAAGUCGGAAUUGCUAGUAAUCGUGGAUCAGCAUGCCACGGUGAAUACGUUCCCGGGCCUUGCACACACCGCCCGUCA
rnacentral:rRNA from 1 species